CUGCGAAUGGCUCAUUAAAUCAGUUAUCGUUUAUUUGAUAGUACCUUACUACUUGGAUAACCGUGGUAAUUCUAGAGCUAAUACAUGCUAAAAACCCCGACUUCGGGAGGGGUGUAUUUAUUAGAUAAAAAACCAAUGCCCUUCGGGGCUCUUUGGUGAUUCAUGAUAACUUAACGGAUCGCAUGGCCUUGCGCCGGCGACGGUUCAUUCAAAUUUCUGCCCUAUCAACUUUCGAUGGUAAGGUAUUGGCUUACCAUGGUUUCAACGGGUAACGGGGAAUUAGGGUUCGAUUCCGGAGAGGGAGCCUGAGAAACGGCUACCACAUCCAAGGAAGGCAGCAGGCGCGCAAAUUACCCAAUCCCGACUCGGGGAGGUAGUGACAAUAAAUACUGAUACAGGGCUCUUUUGGGUCUUGUAAUCGGAAUGAGUACAAUUUAAACCCCUUAACGAGGAACAAUUGGAGGGCAAGUCUGGUGCCAGCAGCCGCGGUAAUUCCAGCUCCAAUAGCGUAUAUUAAAGUUGUUGCAGUUAAAAAGCUCGUAGUUGAACCUUGGGCCUGGCUGGCCGGUCCGCCUCACCGCGUGUACUGGUCCGGCCGGGCCUUUCCUUCUGGAGAGCCGCAUGCCCUUCACUGGGUGUGCCGGGGAACCAGGACUUUUACUUUGAAAAAAUUAGAGUGUUCAAAGCAGGCCUUUGCUCGAAUACGUUAGCAUGGAAUAAUAGAAUAGGACGUGCGGUCCUAUUUUGUUGGUUUCUAGGACCGCCGUAAUGAUUAAUAGGGAUAGUCGGGGGCAUCAGUAUUCAAUUGUCAGAGGUGAAAUUCUUGGAUUUAUUGAAGACUAACUACUGCGAAAGCAUUUGCCAAGGAUGUUUUCAUUAAUCAGUGAACGAAAGUUAGGGGAUCGAAGACGAUCAGAUACCGUCGUAGUCUUAACCGUAAACUAUGCCGACUAGGGAUCGGGCGAUGUUUCUAUCUUGACUCGCUCGGCACCUUCCGAG
rnacentral:rRNA from 1 species